GUCAGAAAGGUAGGUCCUCAGCAGGCUGGUUUCCCAGGACAUAAGAACAUCAGCUUGCAAGUCGCCUUUCCAGCACUUCCCUGCCUCCUGAAGGGGCCGCAGGAGGGCUCAGCACAUCACAGCUGUGCAGUUGCCACCAGACCUGUUGUGGGAGACCCCUCCUCAGAACCCUGCUGCAAGCCUGCCUGCCCGCCUGCUGGACUCAGAUUUCCACAGCUGGAGCUGGACCACACUCCCCACUCCUACCAAAGGCGCUGCAGAGCUCUACCGCUGUCUGAGUUUCCGUUCCCAUAUCAAAAGCCUCUCUUUUCUGCUGAGCCGACAAGACCUGCCAACCAAACAAGCCGCCAGGACCUGCAUUUUCACAACGCAGCUACA
rnacentral:lncRNA from 1 species